rnacentral:rRNA from 2 species
ACUUAAAUUGAAGAGUUUGAUCAUGGCUCAGAUUGAACGCUGGCGGCAGGCCUAACACAUGCAAGUCGAGCGGUAGCACAGAGAGCUUGCUCUCGGGUGACGAGCGGCGGACGGGUGAGUAAUGUCUGGGAAACUGCCUGAUGGAGGGGGAUAACUACUGGAAACGGUAGCUAAUACCGCAUAAUGUCGCAAGACCAAAGUGGGGGACCUUCGGGCCUCAUGCCAUCAGAUGUGCCCAGAUGGGAUUAGCUAGUAGGUGGGGUAACGGCUCACCUAGGCGACGAUCCCUAGCUGGUCUGAGAGGAUGACCAGCCACACUGGAACUGAGACACGGUCCAGACUCCUACGGGAGGCAGCAGUGGGGAAUAUUGCACAAUGGGCGCAAGCCUGAUGCAGCCAUGCCGCGUGUGUGAAGAAGGCCUUCGGGUUGUAAAGCACUUUCAGCGGGGAGGAAGGCGAUAAGGUUAAUAACCUUGUCGAUUGACGUUACCCGCAGAAGAAGCACCGGCUAACUCCGUGCCAGCAGCCGCGGUAAUACGGAGGGUGCAAGCGUUAAUCGGAAUUACUGGGCGUAAAGCGCACGCAGGCGGUCUGUCAAGUCGGAUGUGAAAUCCCCGGGCUUAACCUGGGAACUGCAUUCGAAACUGGCAGGCUAGAGUCUUGUAGAGGGGGGUAGAAUUCCAGGUGUAGCGGUGAAAUGCGUAGAGAUCUGGAGGAAUACCGGUGGCGAAGGCGGCCCCCUGGACAAAGACUGACGCUCAGGUGCGAAAGCGUGGGGAGCAAACAGGAUUAGAUACCCUGGUAGUCCACGCCGUAAACGAUGUCGAUUUGGAGGUUGUGCCCUUGAGGCGUGGCUUCCGGAGCUAACGCGUUAAAUCGACCGCCUGGGGAGUACGGCCGCAAGGUUAAAACUCAAAUGAAUUGACGGGGGCCCGCACAAGCGGUGGAGCAUGUGGUUUAAUUCGAUGCAACGCGAAGAACCUUACCUGGUCUUGACAUCCACAGAACUUUCCAGAGAUGGAUUGGUGCCUUCGGGAACUGUGAGACAGGUGCUGCAUGGCUGUCGUCAGCUCGUGUUGUGAAAUGUUGGGUUAAGUCCCGCAACGAGCGCAACCCUUAUCCUUUGUUGCCAGCGGUUAGGCCGGGAACUCAAAGGAGACUGCCAGUGAUAAACUGGAGGAAGGUGGGGAUGACGUCAAGUCAUCAUGGCCCUUACGACCAGGGCUACACACGUGCUACAAUGGCAUAUACAAAGAGAAGCGACCUCGCGAGAGCAAGCGGACCUCAUAAAGUAUGUCGUAGUCCGGAUUGGAGUCUGCAACUCGACUCCAUGAAGUCGGAAUCGCUAGUAAUCGUAGAUCAGAAUGCUACGGUGAAUACGUUCCCGGGCCUUGUACACACCGCCCGUCACACCAUGGGAGUGGGUUGCAAAAGAAGUAGGUAGCUUAACCUUCGGGAGGGCGCUUACCACUUUGUGAUUCAUGACUGGGGUGAAGUCGUAACAAGGUAACCGUAGGGGAACCUGCGGUUGGAUCACCUCCUUACCUUAAAGAA